GUUUACUUUUACCCGAGCCGCGAGCGAAAGGAAGCAGCUAACAUACUUGGCACCUGAUCCUCCGACAAAGGAAUCAUUAGCGCAAUUAGUUGUACAGUUUGUGCAGUACCAGGAGACCAAACUCACUACUAGGUUGCCGAUGCGAUGUUUUAUGGAUUUUAAACCGGGUGGAUCGCUUUGUCAUAUUCUGGCCACGAUGUACAGUUACAAGGCUGAACAGCGCUGGCGGAAAUUCGAUUUUACGGUAAACAAGGUAAGCAUG